GCCACCGGGCCGCCUAAUCCUGCCAACCCGACUGGUCCCCUGAGUCAGCACGGCAGGAGCGGGGGACCCACCGAUCCAUGGCCGCAUCAGCCUUGGGGUGAAGUCCUCGUGGUCCACGGACCACAGGGCGGAGUGAUCUCCACUCCAACCCGACAGCUAACUCCGUAGGCGUAGGAGAGACCCAUG
rnacentral:sRNA from 2 species